GGUCCAUGUCAAAUCAUAUAUAUUCAUAUAUAUUGCAGAUUAUUCUUUUUGCAGAGAGAGAAUCAAAAUCACUUUGCGUGCAGCAUCGAUUGGGUCGGAAAUCGAGGGUUUGGUAAGCGAGAUCGCCGCCGGUGACAGACUGACAGGGACGAGAUGGACGCCGGCGGAGGCGGCGUCUUGGCCGCCGUGCUCUGCAUGCUGCUGGUCUUCGCCAUCUUCCUUCUCCUCCUCUGGCGCCGCCGCUCCGAUGCCGCCACCGCCGAUAACCACCGCGUCCCGCCCCAGCCCCUCCAGGAGGAUCAGGUGCUGCACGGUCGCGCGGCGGCGCGACGGAUGCGUCGGAGGCCUGGGGCUGCCGGAGCAGGCUCCUCUACUGCGUCAACUAGCCGCAAUGCUGUAGAGGACGACGCGGAGAGUGACGAUGAGGAGGUCCCCGAAGGUCGCAACGUACCCAGAUCCUCCAAAAAGGAGAAGAAAAGGCAAGAGCGAGAGAUGCAGCGUCAGGCCGAAGAACCUGCACGGGAUUCAUGGAGGAGUAAACAAGACCGAUACGACGAAAUGAGGAGGAAGAAGGAUGAGGAGCGUGAGGCACAAGAGAGGCAAUUGGAAGAAGAAGCUAGGGCACGAAAAGCAAAGGAGGAGGCUGCUGCUGCUUUAGAGUUUGAGAAAUGGAAAGGGGCCUUCUCUGUUGAUGCUGAAGGUACAACAGAGAGUGAGACACAAGACGAUGGUCAGGGUUUGCUCCACAACUUUGUGGAAUACAUCAAGAAGCAGAAGUGUGUUCCCCUAGAGGACCUAGCUGCAGAGUUCAGGAUGCGAACCCAGGACUGUAUCAAUCGGAUUGUUACUCUGGAAAGCAUGGAUAGGUUAUCUGGGGUGAUGGAUGACCGUGGGAAGUUCAUCUACAUCUCCACUGAAGAGAUGAAGGCAGUUGCAGAGUACAUUAGGAAGCAAGGGAGAGUGAGCAUAUCACAUCUGGCCAACAACUCAAACCAGUUCAUCGAUCUGGAGCCGAAGGCCCAGUACGAGGUGGAGAGCCAGCAGGAUGACAGUGCAGAAGCAGGCACAGAAGCAUGAGAAUUCCUUGUGACCUGGCACCAUGUCGUGCUCAAUGAUGUUUUGUAGUGUGAUGACUUAACAUGGUUUGAGUUGGGCACUGGCCAUAUAAUAUAUGCAGUAGUCGGUAUAAACAUACUUGUUCUGACAUGCUAGAUACCAUUACCCCAUGCAGAGAACUCAGGCUUUUGUUCUAUCAUCAUGAUUGAAAAUCAUCGGUUGACCUUGGUGGUGUUGGGGAGGAGGGAGGUGGUGUUUGAGUCUAGCAGCAAGAGAUUUGGCAAUGAUUCUGUAGAUGACAAAGACUUUGCUCGGAGACAAGGCAGACUUGUAGUCAGGUUCACAAAUCGUCCUAUUAGUAAUAUAUAGCCUUUGCAGUGCCGGUUGUGUUCUUUUA